GACGAACGCUGGCGGCGUGCUUAACACAUGCAAGUCGAACGGAAAGGCCCUGCUUUUGUGGGGUGCUCGAGUGGCGAACGGGUGAGUAACACGUGAGUAACCUGCCCUUGACUUUGGGAUAACUUCAGGAAACUGGGGCUAAUACCGGAUAGGAGCUCCUGCUGCAUGGUGGGGGUUGGAAAGUUUCGGCGGUUGGGGAUGGACUCGCGGCUUAUCAGCUUGUUGGUGGGGUAGUGGCUUACCAAGGCUUUGACGGGUAGCCGGCCUGAGAGGGUGACCGGCCACAUUGGGACUGAGAUACGGCCCAGACUCCUACGGGAGGCAGCAGUGGGGAAUAUUGCACAAUGGGCGGAAGCCUGAUGCAGCAACGCCGCGUGCGGGAUGACGGCCUUCGGGUUGUAAACCGCUUUCGCCUGUGACGAAGCGUGAGUGACGGUAAUGGGUAAAGAAGCACCGGCUAACUGUGUG
rnacentral:rRNA from 1 species